CCUCCCUCCCCCUCUCUCUACCUCUCUCCCUGUCCAACCCCCCUCUCUCUCUCUCUCUCUCUCUCACAUUAGGGCUCCAGUCCUAUCUGCACUUCUAGUUGGGUUCUAUACCCAGUGUCCCCUCUCCGCAUCAGGCUCAUCCCCCAUGAGGCUGUGCAAUGAUCUUCCGUCGUCUGUAUCAGACUAUUCUCAUUCAUCAUUGUCAGAGUCCCUCCUACUGCCUCUCCCCGCCUCUCAAUGGUGUCACCAAUGCUCUCAGAGCAGUUCAUUCUGGACUAUCUCACUGGCUUUGGUACCUUUAUACCUAGAACCUGUCCCUUCAUCGAGAUUGGAUGUAAACGUAAUUUGCAUGAGUCAGAUAUUGCUAUCAAAUGAUGUACAAAGCUCUGCUUGUCUACCAGUGGCAGAUGUUAAAUAUUGCUGCCCCGGUGUAGAUGAUUAUUUAUGAUGCCUGAGACUAAACCCAACAGUGAAGAUGUACUGUACAGUAUUUUCUAAUUGGAACAUCAUACAUACAUCUUUUUAAGCCCUGUGUAGCCUCCUUAACUCUUUUACCUUUCAAAUUGCUGUAGUUGCCUUUGAACAGACUUCCCACUGGCUCACUAAUUCAUAGUCAGCGUUAAUUGACGGCAGCCUAAUCAUGCUGCCAGGUCAAUGUUAGCCAGACAUGCAACUGAUGGGCUAAUUAAUGUUUCGUGAUAAGAGUAUGGUUUCGUGAUAACGUGACACUAACGUCAGACUUUAAGCAACUCACAAAAAAAAAGAGGUCAUUAGUCACAGACUUGACAACUACGUCCAAUGAAGAGGCCUUUAGGAGUGACUGAACAUACUGAACAACUUAGCUUAGCAGAUGACUCAUCACUCGCUUCCUUUCCUGUUGUUGUUGUUAUUUAAUACAUACACUCAAAGUAUAUAUUUUAUGUGACUACAAAAUGACUCGUCCUUCCACAUUGCUGACUUUACACACACUAGAGGUUAGUGUACAGUAUACCGAUCAGCAGGAAAGGUUUCCACCGUAACAACAGUCAUUUUGAGUGGAACUGCAGCUCACUGCAGCUAACAUUGUUGCACUGUAUUACUGACAGCAUGUUAUUACUGACAACAUGUUAAACUGUAUAGGUCUACUGUAAACUGUGUCGGUAAUUGUCAGUAAUUACUAGGCAGUCCGUGUCAACACGGAACCACAGUUCAGUGUCAAGCCUCUCCAUGGCUACUCAUUGGAAAUGGAGAUGAUAACUUUUCAGUGGUCGCCCUAGCAACCACGGCGUAGGAAGUCCGAACAUACUGUAUACAAUGAGAAAAAAGCACUACAUUACACACACGUUGGUUUAUGUUGGGUGUGUUUUUAAAAAUGUAUUCUCUGAAAUCAGGGUCCCUCUGAAGUCUCCUCUGAAAGCAGGGUUUCUCUGAAGUCUCCUCUGAAAUCAGGGUUCCUCUGAAGUCUCCUCUGAAAUCAGGGUUCCUCUGAAGUCUCCUCUGAAUUCAGGGUUCCUCUGAAGUCUCCUCUGAAAUCAGAGUUCCUCCGAAGUCUCCUCUGAAAUCAGGGUUCCUCUGAAGUCUCCUCUGAAAUCAGGGUCCCUUUGAAGUCUCCUCUGAAAGCAGGGUUCCUCUGAAGUCUCCUCUGAAGUCUCCUCUGAAAUCAGGGUUCCUCUGUAGUCUCCUCUGAAAUCAAGGGUCUUUUCUUUCCUAGGCAGCCCCUAUGACAUGCUAUUGAAUGUUGGUACCGUCACCACACCUCAAUUAUAAAACACAAUUUCAUCAUGCACCAUUUGCCACGCUCAUCCCUUAUUCCCAAGAACAAGGUGGUCAUUUUGUGUUAGCCAGGGGAGGGAAGGAGAGGGGUAGUCUGGCUGACACGACCCACAUGACUAUACAGCGAAGAGCUGUGACCCACUUCGAGGACUUCGAAAGCUGGUGUUAGCCAGACCAAGAGAGAUGGAGGAGAGGAAGGAUAAGCUAGUGUGAGUCAUCAGUAGUAGAGAGAGGAGAGAGCUUUGACAAAGUUCCUGUUGUUGUCGCGAGUGUCCUUGGUGAGCUGCCAGAACGGUUAGUUUUGUCAAUCAAACAAGCAGCAGGCAUAAUCCGGUGACCCCCACGCUCUAUCUCUGCACCUCACAACGCUUUCCUCUGAGCAGGGGGGACACGGGGGAAGUGACACGUGGGUGACAUGUAGCUGUCAUCACAAGGUUGCUAUGACCACCCUUGUUUUGGCAGCAUACCUAACCCUGAGUUGGUUCUCUCUCCUUGUAUCACAGCAACAAUGCUGGAUUGAAGUGUUAGUUGUCAAGAACUCAAUACUACUGCAUUGCUCUCCCACCUAAUCCGAAUCUGUCAACCUCAACUCAAUACUUCUGCAUUGCUCUCCCACCUAAUCCGAAUCUGUCAACCUCAACUCAAUACUUCUGCAUUGCUCUCCCACCUAAUCCGAAUCUGUCAACCUCAACUCA
ensembl:lncRNA